CAAGAUGCGUGCAACUAUAAAAUGCUGAGUCUUGACGGGGACCUACAUGACCAUAAUGUAUCAACUAAUACAUGAAUAGUUAACGGUCUCGUUUGUAAGUGGAGUGAACGACCAAUCGAGUGUUUAAACAAUUGUUACGAGGGAUAAUUUUACACUAUCGCUCCAAGUGCUUUCAUCAGACUACGUGAAAUCGAGUGACAACAAUGGCUGUUUUUUUUCCUCUUCAAUACUGGGUGACUCGAGUGAAGAAGGUUCUGUCAACGUUCUUUGAAAGGUGUGUAAAACUCGGAUGAUAAGACACCACUGGAGCGUGAAGAAUCGCGGAGGUUUGUCCUUUUAUUGCUGCACGAUGAUACCCACGUUCUUAAUCCAACAAUCGUGAUAAACAAAAAAAUUAAAUUCCCUCACAAUGACGUGGCAGACAAUCUUACGUGUCUAAUUCUUUUGUAACAAAUUGCCGGAUUUUCCUGAUGACCCAGCAUCGACGAGAAUAAAAUCAUU